UUCAUUUCCCAUCGUGCUGAGGCGGGUGGCAUGGCGGAGAAGGAUGACACCGGAGUUUGACGAAGAGGUGGUUUUUGAGAAUUCUCCACUUUACCAAUACUUACAGGAUCUGGGACACACAGACUUUGAAAUAUGUUCUUCUUUGUCACCAAAAACAGAAAAAUGCACAACAGAGGGACAACAAAAGCCUCCUACAAGAGUCCUACCAAAAUACCUGGGAUAUAGUAAUCACUCAAUGAAUAUAAACUGCACUUACUGGCAUGCUCAAGGAAUGGGCUAUUAAGCAAGGUAUCCUGUUAAAAGUGGCUGAAACCAUCAAAAGUUGGAUUUUUUUUUCUCAGUGCAAUAAGAAAGAUGACUUACUUCACAAGUUGGUGGAGCCAUCUCAUUCUUCAGUGAUACUAGGACUGUGGUAAGUGUCAAGCCUGAUGCCUGGCUUAUAGAAGAUAUUCCUUGAUAGAUGAAUAGAAAGAAGAGAAGGAGAAAUAAAUGAGCUCGUAUAUGUGAAGGCAUUUUGUAAACUAUA
rnacentral:lncRNA from 1 species